UGGCCCCUCGGAGAUGGCAUGCCUCCCGUUCCGGAACCCUCGGGCACACCGGAACAAACCGCUUCUCGUGAUCCCGCGUUGAAGUUGAUGAUGCCUGCACCCCG
rnacentral:ncRNA from 1 species